rnacentral:rRNA from 1 species
CCCUAUUUAAACCCAUGCCCCCUAAAACCUCAUAAACAUUAACUAAAACAUUCACUAUAUUUUAGUAAAGGCGAUUGAAAAACUAAUUAGAGCUAUAACAGUAGUACCGCAAGGGAAUGAUGAAAUAAAAAUGAAAUAAAUAUCAAGCAAAAAAAAGCAGAGAUAUGCACUCGUACCUUUUGCAUCAUGAUUUAUCUAGUCUAAUCAAGCAAAAAGACUUAUAGUUUGUCCCCCCGAAACUAGACGAGCUACUUCGAGGCAGCUUUAUGAGCCCACCCGUCUCUGUUGCAAAAGAGUGGGAAGACCCCCAAGUAGCGGUGAUAGACCUAACGAGUCUAGUGAUAGCUGGUUGCUUAAGAAAAGGAUUUAGUCCUACCUGAAACAUCUCCAAUUUAAUAAAAUAUAUACAACGUUUUAGAGCUAUUCAAAUGAGGUACAGCCCAUUUGAAAUAAGGAUACAACCUAAACUAAUGGGUAAUUUAAUUAUAUUAUGAACAAGUAGGCCUAAAAGCAGCCACCUUUAAAAUAGCGUCAUAGCUUAUUCAUAUAAAACUACAAUACCACCACACACUUAAAACCCUUUAUUUAUAUUAAGCUAUUCUAUAAAACUAUAGAAGUAAUUAUGUUAAAACUAGUAAUAAGAAGACGACCUUCUCUUAGAUGUAAGUGUAAAUCAGAAAGGACCGACCACUGAUAAUUAAUGCUAAUGAACCUAAAACAGCAACCCCACUAGAAAACCCUGUUUUAAACAACGUUAACCUAACACCAGAACAUCUCAAGAAAGAUUAAAAGAAAAAGAAGGAACUCGGCAAACAUUAACCUCGCCUGUUUACCAAAAACAUCGCCUCUUGCCUAAAUAUAAGAGGUCCAGCCUGCCCAGUGACUCAGUUCAACGGCCGCGGUAUCCUAACCGUGCGAAGGUAGCGUAAUCACUUGUUCUUUAAAUGAGGACUAGUAUGAAUGGCACCACGAGGGUUAUACUGUCUCCUUUUUCUAAUCAAUGAAACUGAUCUCCCCGUGAAGAAGCGGGGAUUAUAUUAUAAGACGAGAAGACCCUAUGGAGCUUCAAACUAAAUAGCAAUAGCUUAUAUACCAAUAUAUUUCAGAAUUAUAAUACCUAUUCUAGCACAUAUGACUAUUAGUUUUAGGUUGGGGUGACCGCGGAGCAAAAACUAACCUCCACAUUGAAAGAAGCCACUUCUGAGCAAAAAGCUACAACUUCAAGCACCAAUAAAUUGACAUAAAUUGACCCAAUAUUUUGAUCAACGAACCAAGUUACCCUAGGGAUAACAGCGCAAUCCACCUCAAGAGCUCCUAUCGACAGGUGGGCUUACGACCUCGAUGUUGGAUCAGGGUAUCCUAGUGGUGCAGCCG